rnacentral:tRNA from 1 species
GCUGCCGUAGCUCAGGUGGUAGAGCACGUCCUUGGUAAGGACGGGGUCGGUGGUUCAAGUCCACUCGGCAGCACCA